rnacentral:tRNA from 1 species
GGUUUCAUAGUGUAAAGGUUAGCACGUCUGCUUUACACACAGAAGAUCCUGGGUUCAUGUCCUGGUGGAGCCA